rnacentral:lncRNA from 1 species
UGGUAGGCUGAUCCACCGGUAUCUGGGGGAAUGGCACUGUCACUGGGCUACACUGCUGUUGCAGGAAUGUCGUGCACGGUGUCAACUGCUCCUGCAACUGUUGUUGUUGUUGUUGCCCCAGUUGUUGUUGCUGCUGGCAUUGUACCGGGACGUAGAUGUUGCACAUCAAUGAUAGGUUCUCAAGCAACAUCCUCAUGCUCUUAUGUUGUGCUUGCUGUUGGGGCUCCUGCCAUUGUUGUUGGGAUUGUUGUUGAAUGAUAGCCUCUACCACGAUGUGGAUGGCAUGGCACCGGGUUCGCUCUGGGAUCUGCGCCAACUGCUGGCAGCAUUGGUAUUGCACGAUCUGGCAGCUGCUAAGUUGCUCGACUUGUGUCUGGAGGAAUGGCAUUCUCAGUGGGCUACACUUUUGUUGCAGGAAUGCCACACACGGCUUCAUCUGCUCCAGCAACUGUCGUUGACCAGGUUGUUGUUGUUGUUGGGAUUGUCCAAAGCCCUGGCUACAUGUGGUUUCCAACUGGGCAAUGGCGGUGGUUGCUGCGAGGGCAAGGAGAGCCAGGAUGAAGACCUUCAUGGUGGCUAGCCUCAAGUUUGCUUUGUUGUUUGUGGUUGUCUGAAGGUUGAUGAAGGAGGAUCUUCAUGGUACAUGCCUAUUUAUAGCUGUCAUGGUCUGUUUGCUGCAUUCCAUUCCUAUAUUAUUUUACGAACGCAUUUGGAUGCUUUCCAAACUGAUCAUCUCGUUUUGUUGUGUUAGGUGGCGCUAAAGUCUAAUCUUCAAUGGCCAUCAAACAAACUUUUGGGCACAUAUCACCUGACUGUCAUGUGAGAUUGAUAAUGCAUAUGACUCAUCAAUCAUCACUUUACAUGUCAAAAGUUCGGGCGGCAUAUCUUUUUGUGAAACCAAUUUGUAAUCUUAUACAUGUGUUAGGUAUAAAUUAGCUUUUGCAUUCACAUGAUCCAUGGUUUUUUUGAGUUAAUGGUUUUUAAUCUUGCAUUAGCUGUUUAGGUUGAUCACAUCAGCAAACCAUUAGGUGUGAAGAGGUGUUCCACACUCGAUUAAUUGUUCCCUUGAACUGAUUUUGUAAUUUUAUUUGAGUUGGUAAGAUAAACAUCCAUUAGUAGUGCACGGCAUGACUCAUAGGAUGCCCUUUACAUGUCAAGAGAUUUCCAUGGAGCUACUCUGAUGUGGUGGAACUGAACUUUACUGAACUGAAUUUGUUCUUUCUUCUACAGGACAUAUGCAUGGGUAAUGUGCUAUGAGUCUGUAAUCUUCCAUGGUUGCUAUCUGCUGCCAGGCCCAUCCAUACCC